rnacentral:rRNA from 1 species
CCGACGACUCCUCAUUCAUCCUCUUGCAAAUAUAUGUUCGCCUUUAACCGGGCGGCUAUAUGAGCAAGCAUUUUACCUUGAGAAAAACACAGUGUUCCCCGGGGGUGUGUCCCGAAUGCAUUAUCAUGGAAUAAUAUAAUAUGACUGAGAUCUAUUUAUUGGUUUGAGGCUUUAUUAAUGAUAAAAAGGAACACUCGGGGGGGUUGGUACUUGUCACUCACAGAUGAAAUUCUCUGAUUUGACAAAAACAAACACAUGCGAAAGCAUUUGCCACGGGUGUUUUCUUUAAUCACAAACAAAAGUUAUGGGAUAUCAAACAAUAUCAUACCCUCCUAUUCUCAACUAUAAACUAUACCGACUCGGAUUCAGAUGAAUCAUAAAGUUCAUUUGGGACCGUAGGAGAAAUCAAAGUUUUUGGGUUGUGGGGGAAGUAUGGUCGCAAGGGUGAAACUUAAAGGAAUUGACGGUUUUGCCCCCCCAUGGAGUGGAGUGUGCGGCUUAAUUUGACUCAACACUGGGAAACUCAUCAGGGCAAGAAGAUUGUAGGAUUGACAGAUUGAGAGUUCUUUCUUGAUUGGUCUAGUGGUGGUGCAUGGCCGUUCUUAGUUGGUGGAGUGAUUUGUCUGGUUAAUUCCGUUAACGAACGAGACCUUAACCUGCUAACUAGUACUUCGAUGACAAAUAGAAGUUACUUCUUAGAGGGACUAUGUG